GAUAAACGCUGGCGGCGUGCCUUAUGCAUGCAAGUCGAACGGUCUUGAUUUAUCAAGGAUAGUGGCGAACGGGUGAGUAGCGCGUAAGUAACCUGCCCCUAAGUAAAGAAUAACUCUGAGAAGUUAGAGCUAAUACUGUAGUGGUGGUGGAGGUAAUGCUUCACUACUAAAGCUUUAGGGCGCUUAGGGAGGGGCUUGCGUCCGAUUAGCUAGUUGGUAGGGUAAUGGUCUACCAAGGCGAUGAUCGGUAGCUGGUUUGAGAGGACAUCCAGCCACACUGGGAUUGAGAUACGGCCCAGACUCCUACGGGAGGCAGCAGCAAGGAAUUUUGUGCAAUGGGCGAAAGCCUGACACAGCGACGUCGUGUGGGGGAUGAAGGCCUUCGGGUUGUAAACCCCUUUUCUCAGGGAAGAAUAAUGACGGUACCUGAGGAAUAAGUCGUGGCUAACUACGUGCCAGCAGCCGCGGUAAUACGUAGGCGGCAAGCGUUAUCCGGAUUUACUGGGCGUAAAGAGAACGUAGGCGGUUUUUCAAGUCGAUUGUAAAAUCUCCCGGCUUAAUUGGGAGGGGCCAGUCGAUACUGCUAAACUAGAGGGCAGCAGGGGGAGGUGGAAUUCCCGGUGUAGUGGUGGAAUACAUAGAUAUCGGGAGGAACACCAGUGGCGAAGGCGGCCUCCUAGGCUGUUUCUAACGCUGAGGUUCGAAAGCGUGGGGAGCAAACAGACUUAGAUACUCUGGUAGUCCACGCUGUAAACUAUGGACACUAGGUAUAGGGAGUAUCGACCCUCUCUGUGCCGAAGCUAACGCAUUAAGUGUCCCGCCUGGGGACACGGCCGCAAGGCA
rnacentral:rRNA from 1 species